rnacentral:rRNA from 1 species
UACGGAGGGGGCUAGCGUUGUUCGGAAUUACUGGGCGUAAAGCGCACGUAGGUGGCUUUGUAAGUUAGAGGUGAAAGCCCGGGGCUCAACUCCGGAAUUGCCUUUAAGACUGCAUCGCUAGAACGUCGGAGAGGUAAGUGGAAUUCCGAGUGUAGAGGUGAAAUUCGUAGAUAUUCGGAAGAACACCAGUGGCGAAGGCGACUUACUGGACGACUGUUGACACUGAGGUGCGAAAAGCGUGGGGAGCAAACAGG